GGGUGACUGCGUACCUUUUGUAUAAUGGGUCAGCGACUUAUAUUUUGUAGCGAGGUUAACUGAAUAAGGGAGCCGAAGGGAAACCGAGUCUUAACUGGGCGAAGAGUUGCAAGGUAUAGACCCGAAACCCGGUGAUCUAGCCAUGGGCAGGUUGAAGGUUGGGUAACACUAACUGGAGGACCGAACCGACUAAUGUUGAAAAAUUAGCGGAUGACCUGUGGCUGGGGGUGAAAGGCCAAUCAAACCGGGAGAUAGCUGGUUCUCCCCGAAAUCUAUUUAGGUAGAGCCUUGUGUGAAUACCUUUGGGGGUAGAGCACUGUUUCGGCUAGGGGCCCAUCCCGGGUUACCAAACCGAUGCAAACUCCGAAUACCAAAGAGUAAUGCACAGGAGACACACGGCGGGUGCUAACGUCCGUCGUGGAGAGGGAAACAACCCAGACCGCCAGCUAAGGUCCCAAAAUCUAUAUUAAGUGGGAAACGAAGUGGGAAGGCUUAGACAGCUAGGAUGUUGGCUUAGAAGCAGCCACCAUUUAAAGAAAGCGUAAUAGCUCACUAGUCGAGUCGGCCUGCGCGGAAGAUGUAACGGGGCUAAAAUAUAGUACCGAAGCUGCGGCAUCAAUCGAAAGAUUGUUGGGUAGGGGAGCGUUGUGUAAGCGGAAGAAGGUGGUUCGAGAGGAUUGCUGGACGUAUCACAAGUGCGAAUGCUGACAUAAGUAACGAUAAAACGGGUGAAAAACCCGUUCGCCGGAAGACCAAGGGUUCCUGUCCAACGUUAAUCGGGGCAGGGUGAGUCGGCCCCUAAGGCGAGGCUGAAAAGCGUAGUCGAUGGGAAACGGGUUAAUAUUCCCGUACUUGGUAAAGCUGCGAUGUGGGGACGGAGAAGGUUAGGUUAUCGACCUGUUGGAGAUGGUCGUUUAAGUUGGUAGGUGGGUGAGUUAGGCAAAUCCGGCUCACCGUUAACACUGAGAGAUGAUGACGAGGCACUAAGGUGCUGAAGUAACUGAUACCACACUUCCAGGAAAAGCCACUAAGCUUCAGGCUUUACUAAACCGUACUGAAAACCGACACAGGUGGUCAGGUAGAGAAUACUCAGGCGCUUGAGAGAACUCGGGUGAAGGAACUAGGCAAAAUAGCACCGUAACUUCGGGAGAAGGUGCGCCGGCGUAGAUUGUAGUGACUUGCUCACGAAGGUUGAACCGGUCGAAGAUACCAGCUGGCUGCAACUGUUUAUUAAAAACACAGCACUCUGCAAACACGAAAGUGGACGUAUAGGGUGUGAUGCCUGCCCGGUGCUGGAAGGUUAAUUGAUGGUGUAAUCGAAAGAGAAGCUCCUGAUCGAAGCCCCAGUAAACGGCGGCCGUAACUAUAACGGUCCUAAGGUAGCGAAAUUCCUUGUCGGGUAAGUUCCGACCUGCACGAAUGGCAUAAUGAUGGCCAGGCUGUCUCCACCCGAGACUCAGUGAAAUUGAAAUCGCCGUGAAGAUGCGGUGUACCCGCGGCUAGACGGAAAGACCCCGUGAACCUUUACUAUAGCUUGACACUGAACCUUGAAUUUUGAUGUGUAGGAUAGGUGGGAGACUGUGAAGCGGUAACGCCAGUUAUCGUGGAGUCGUUGUUGAAAUACCACCCUUUAACGUUUGAUGUUCUAACGAAGUGCCUGAAACGGGU
rnacentral:rRNA from 1 species